CCAUGAGCGAGAACUGACUCUUGAACAAGACAAUCGAUAUGGCUGUACGAAAAUAGAUUUUCCGCGUCUAUGCAUUGAACAGCACACCUCAUUCUGUAAAGGGUUUGAAUACUCAUAUGUCUGCCUUUAGUGUAUUGAGUCCUAACGCCGACUUGAGAGUAAAACAUGACCGAUACAACCUCUGCUUUUCUAUCAACCUGGACGGCGAAGGACAUCAGGAUAGCGCGGUGCUGCGCUACAAAUUUACGAGCAAGAAGGAGGUAGAUCUACUGUCAACUUAUGUACCCGAGUCUUUCAGGGGCAAAGGUGUUGCAGCUCUUCUGUCAAAGGAAAACUCUCAUGACUUUGGAAUCCCAUGAAGUCAAAAACGUGUUUUACUGUGUUUUAUAUAUAUUUACACACAGGUUUGAAUAAUACUGUGAAAUUGUGAAAAUAAUGUCCUUUUAGUGUAAGAACAGUUUGAAAUGUCAUUCUGUUUUGGUGGAAUGGAGUUUUGGCCUGCCUGGUGACAUCAACAGGCGGUAAAUUAGUUAAUGGUCCAAUUACAUAUUGUUCCAAACUACUCUGCCAAUAACAACUAGUUUUCAGUUUUUCCCUCCCUACUCAGACCACUCCCAGACAGUCCAAGCAAAAUUAUUGCUUGAGAAAUUGCUCUUUGCUAAUUGAAAACAAUUUUGAAAACAAUCACUGUAAGGUACUUAAUUGUUACCCAGCAAUUAUUUGAUAUUGAGAAUUUAAAAAAUUUGACCUUAGUAUAAUAAUUUUCUGUCUAAACAUUUCUAGGUAGUAUCUACACAUUUUGAGAUACGCUGCCAUGGAUUUUCUGGUGGAAGAAAACCUCAAGGCCCAUAUAUCUUGUUGUUAUAUUAAGAAAUAUGUUGAGGAAACCACACUUCUUGGUUAUAAGGAUCUUAUUAUAGUCUGAAUAAACUGCAUCCUUGAUGAAUAGUGGUUGGAAAGAAUGGUAAUUAUAAAAAUACAAAAUACUUUAAAAUAAUGUAUUCAGUAUAUACAGUACUAGUCAAAAGUUUG